UACGAAGGGGGCUAGCGUUGUUCGGAAUCACUGGGCGUAAAGGGCGCGUAGGCGGGCUGUCCAGUCUGGGGUGAAAUCCCGCGGCUCAACCGUGGAACUGCCUCAGAUACUGACGGCCUCGAGGGAGAUAGGGGCAUGCGGAACUGUAGGUGGAGCGGUGAAAUGCGUUGAUAUCUACAGGAACUCCGGUGGCGAAGGCGGCGUGCUGGAUCUCUUCUGACGCUGAGGCGCGAAAGCUAGGGGAGCAAACGGG
rnacentral:rRNA from 1 species